rnacentral:rRNA from 1 species
GAUGAACGCUGGCGGCGUGCCUAACACAUGCAAGUCGAACGGGGUUAAGGGAAAUUUUCGGAUGGAACUUAACUUAGUGGCGGACGGGUGAGUAACGCGUGGAUAACCUGCCUCACACUGGGGGAUAGCAGCUGGAAACGGCUGGUAAUACCGCAUAAGACCACAGCACCGCAUGGUGCAGGGGUAAAAGAUUUAUCGGUGUGAGAUGGAUCCGCGUCUGAUUAGCCAGUUGGCGGGGUAACGGCCCACCAAAGCGACGAUCAGUAGCCGGCCUGAGAGGGUGAACGGCCACAUUGGGACUGAGACACGGCCCAA